rnacentral:tRNA from 1 species
UUAAGAUGGCAGAUCAGUGCAUAGGAUUUAAGAUCCUGGUAGGGAAUAUAGGUUAAUAUUCUUCUUAAUA